AGAACUCCAUGUUCUAAUAGCCCCAGCAAAGUUGUUUUUAAUACUUUUUCUCUACGAAUUUUCAUUAAAAUUUAAUUCCAUUUUAACUUUGUCAAUUUUCCCCAAAGAUAAAUUAAGACACACAGAGAGAUUGUCAUUUCCUGUUUGAAGUCUCAUUCCUGUGUACAAUGGCAGUCUUUUUUAUUUAGGCCUAUGCCAUUCCAUCAGGGUAAAUAACUUUCUAACUAGUCAUUAAGAGCAACUCCUGGGAAACUGUGAUGCAAUCCCACAUAUCAGCCAGACUUCAAAAGCUACCAGAUUAUUGUGAAAGGAGAAACACUGUUUUUGAAGGCUGCUGAUAAUGCCUAUUAGCCAGAAGAAAGAGCCUGAAUCAUUCAAAGGUUUUCCAUCUAGUAAAGAAGUGUGGUAAAAAUCUUGCCCAGAUCUGCAUGUGCUAAGCAUCUACGUAAGUUGGAGCAUCAUAUUAAUGACACCCAGUGAAGAAACGAAAGAAUGAAGUGUAAUUACUAUAUCAAAAAUCCACAGAAUGUGAAAGUAUAAAGGAAAACUCUCAGCUGCUCAGCUAAAAACUUUGGAGUUAGACAUAUGGACAGCCCACCCCAAGGGAAGAAUCAGAGGAGAAGGGACACAAGACCCCAGAAACACACAAAGCACCUUAAUAUGCAUGCUGCAUCUCUCUAAAAUUGUGGAACCUGUUUACCUGCUCUGGAGAAUGGCUGCCUGUGGCAGACGUAGGAGUUGUCCUCAUGCUGUGCUUCCUAUCUUCCACAGUAAUUGACUUGUAGCUGCAAUGCAGUUACCAACCAGGAAUACAAUUUCUCAGCCCCAUGUCUUGCACCUACAGCUAAGUGUGGCCAUGUGACCAGUUUUCACCAAUUAAGUGUAAAUAGCAACAAAGUGCACCACCUUCAAUUGGAGGCUUUGAAGAAGCAGGGCAGCCUUCCCUUGCUCUCUUUCCCCUUGUUCUGGUGGGAUACAGAUGAAAAUAAGGCCCUGGGUUUUGAGGUAGCCACAAGAUGCAAAAUACCUCAGACCUGAGUCACCACAAGGAAGAGAGAAGCCCACUGACAUGGAAUACCCAGCCUAGUCUACAGAUGAAUAAGAAAUAAACUUCUAUUAUGUUCGAACAUUACAGAUUUUGUUCUGUUAUAGCAGUUUAUCUCACCCUGACUAAACUGUUGCCUAUCUUCCAAGAUAGGCCCUCCUUCCCUGAAAGUGACUUUUUCAUACAUGUAAUCUGUAUUUUAAUUCAUAUUCUCCAAAGCAUAUCCACAUCUAUUCAACUAUUUUCAUGUCUUCCAUGAACAAAAACCUCAUAUAAAUAAAUAUAUAUGAAGUUUUUUUUUU